rnacentral:rRNA from 1 species
AUUGAACGCUGGCGGCAUGCCUUACACAUGCAAGUCGAACGGCAGCGCGGACUUCGGUCUGGCGGCGAGUGGCGAACGGGUGAGUAAUGUAUCGGAACGUACCAUUCAGUGGGGGAUAACGCAGCGAAAGUUGCGCUAAUACCGCAUAUUCUGUGAGCAGGAAAGCAGGGGAUCGCAAGACCUUGCGCUGAUUGAGCGGCCGAUGGCAGAUUAGCUAGGUGGUGAGGUAAAGGCUCACCAAGGCGACGAUCUGUAGCGGGUCUGAGAGGAUGAUCCGCCACACUGGAACUGAGACACGGUCCAGACUCCUACGGGAGGCAGCAGUGGGGAAUUUUGGACAAUGGGGGCAACCCUGAUCCAGCCAUGCCGCGUGAGUGAAGAAGGCCUUCGGGUUGUAAAGCUCUUUCGGCCGGGAAGAAAUCGCACGGGCUAAUACCCUGUGUGGAUGACGGUACCGGAAUAAGAAGCACCGGCUAACUACGUGCCAGCAGCCGCCGCGGUAA